rnacentral:lncRNA from 1 species
CCCGGCUCACACUAUCACAGCGAUGGCCCUCGGCUUACGACUUUCACAGUCUGUCACCCUAAUUAACUUCUAUAACUCCUAUAUACUUUCUUCUAAUUUUCUAGAUUCUAACUGUAAUUCUAUAAUUAACUACUUUUAAUAACUAAAUCACUCAUCCAUCUUUCUGAAUUUCCUAUUAUAUGGACUAUUAAUAUAUUUUAUUAAUAUCUUUCAAAAAUGAAUUAAUAUCUAUUCUACAUAGCUCCACUUCUAUCUGUGCAAUGUCCUCGCAAACACUCAAUUAAUACCUAUCUAAAAAUUAUCUAACAAAACUCUGCAAAAAUUGUGAUCCCUCUGGCCUAUCUAAUUAAUUAAUUGCUGCAGUAUCUGUUAUUGGUUCCACCAAUUCUGGUUCCACCAAUUCUGGUUCCAACUGCAAAUCUUUGUCCUCUUCCAAUCCUUCCAUCGGCUCUUGCUUCAACUGAGCUGAAAGGUCUUCAUCGUACUCGCGCAAUUCACGGACUUGAGCUUCCAAUUGUUGUUGCUGUUGAUUCAUCCAUUUUGGAAUAUCUUCAAUCGAUACUUGUGACCGGCUCCUCACUGUUAACUCUUAACUGGAACUACUACUCUCGAAAA